rnacentral:rRNA from 1 species
GAUGAACGCUGGCGGCGUGCCUAAUACAUGCAAGUCGAGCGAACAGACGUGUUGCUUGCUCCUCUGACGUUAGCGGCUGACGGGUUAGUACCACGUGGAUAACCUACCUAUAAGACUUGGAUAACUUCGGGAAACCGUAUCUCAUACCGGCUAAUCUAUUGAACCGCAUGGUUCAAUAGUGAAAGACGUUUUUUCUGUCCCUUUUAUAUUGUUCCGCGCCGCCUUAGCUAGUUGGUCAGGUAACGGCUUACCAAGGCAACGAUGCGUAGCCGACCUGAGAGGGUGAUCGGCCACACUGGAACUGAGACACGGUCCAGACUCCUACGGGAGGCAGCAGUAGGGAAUCUUCCGCAAUGGGCGAAAGCCUGACGGAGCAACGCCGCGUGAGGGAUGAAGGUCUUCGGAUCGUAAAACUCUGUUAUUAGGGAAGAACAAAUGUGUAAGUAACUAUGCACGUCUUGACGGUACCUAAUCAGAAAGCCACGGCUAACUACGUG